CGCAAGUUAAAAUCCCUAGGUGAACCAGUGCUUGAUUAGCUACGUUUCCUGUUUCUGCAUUGGUGAUCAUGGAAACAAAUGCUGAGAAGGAGCCUCUGCUGCCUGGGUACGUGAAUGACCACGGUGAACAGAGGGCUCAGUAAGGAACCCUGACGGAAAAAUGGAGACUUAAGGAAGAAAGAAGUUUUCCCCAUGAUGGCAUGAAGAAAAGCCACACAGUCCUCUGGCGGGAACCAUUAGAGGAAGGGACUAACAUUGUUCUCCCCUGAGUCUCUUCUUUGAGGCAGGGAGAAGACCCUGGAACAUCUGCAGGUGCAGAGAAAUGCCACCACUGGAUCAAGUGUUUGUCCUGUGAUAUGGAGACCACUCAAACAGCUUUACAAUUGUGUGCUAGUCAAGUGUAGAAUCAAAACCCUUUCUGUAGUUUCUGUUUGAGAAAAUAAAAAAGUUCUGGAGAUGGAUGGUUGUACAAUGUGAAUGUAUUUAACACUGAACAAUACAAUUAAAGACGGUAAAAUAGUAAAUGUUGUUAUGUAUAUUUUAC
rnacentral:lncRNA from 1 species